rnacentral:misc_RNA from 1 species
AACGCACGAGACCUGCGGACCUGCGGAGGGAUCAUUAAUGAGAAGCUGCCCCUCGUGGGUAGACCUCCCACCCUCUGUGAACUUACCUUUGUUGCUUUGGCAGGCCCGUCCUCUGGACCGCCGGCUUCGGCUGGCCCGUGCCUGCCAGAGGAUUCCAAACCCUGUCUGUCAGUGUUUUCUGAGUCUAUAUGAAAUCGUUAAAACUUUUAACAAUGGAUCUCUAGAUCGGAAGAGCACACG